rnacentral:tRNA from 1 species
GCGAGGGUGGUGGAAUGGCAGACACGCAGGCUUGAGGGGUCUGUGUCGCAAGACGUGAGGGUUCAAGUCCCUUCCCUCGCA